UGUGCUGUCAGAGUGUAGAGGUGGCGUCCAGGGCAGGACUAGCAGAAUGCUAACCCAGGGCCCUGCAUGGAGAAGCCCAGCCUCACCUGUCCUUGGUCCAUCCAGGGAGGGUGGAACCGAGGCUGGAGGAAGCCAGCCUGUGUCUUCAACAAACCACCACCUGCUAGGAGUGUUUGUGGAAGAAGGUGAAGAGGCCUGGGCUGACCGGCCAGGACAAUGAGGAAUGAGAUGGAGGAAGUGCUGCCCAGAGUGAGUGGAAGUCAGAAGCAAGGCCUGAACGGGCCAGGCCCACCCCCAUCCAGCCCCCUCCUCGAGUUCUUCCUGAGAACCACGAUGGAGGGUGUCAGGAUGUAGAGAUGGAGACAGGGCCUCAGGAGGGAAGAAGAAGACCGAGGUAGCUGCCUGGAGAAGAACUUGAGUCCAUACAAGCCUCGGGGAAGGUGGGCAGCAGAAGGGGACGGUGCUGGCCCUGAAGCAGGCUGGAGGCCUGGGGUCCCCUCCACCACGGGUGCUGAGGGACACUCCAGAGUCCUUGCGAGCAGAAGCCUCAGGGCUCAGAAUCAGCCACAGGACUCUGUCGUUGCAAUUCGUGGUGUUGGAGAUACAAGAGGAAAGAAGAUGCCCAGCCCUCGGGGAGCUUCCGGUCUGGAGGGGGAGACAGACUGAAAGGGAGGGAGGAAGCCACAAGAGCCAAGGGUGGAGAACCUUCCAGCUCUCUGCGGGGUCAAGGGAGGCCUCCCCACAGAGCCGUGGGGGAGGUGGGCAGCCUUUCCCAGCUGAGUUUAUGAUCAGCCACUUCUCUGAGGAAGACCCAUGACCCUGGGACCUGCGAUGCUGUGUCUCUCGAGUAGGAGGUCUGCACAAGGAUCACCGUCUGUCCCCUGCCUCAUUAUAUAGCUGCCAGUUCUGAGACCCCACCCGCAGAUGAGUCAUGAGACUGGAGCAGAAGCAGCAGCAGCUCUGGGCUCAGAGCUCCAGCCCUCGUUCCUCAGAUUCCAAGGCUUGAAAGGGAAGGGUUCUCAGCCCUUGGGGAGCCCCCACCCCAGGCUUUUUUUUUUCCUGCCAGGAGAGUGGCACUGAGGAGAGCCUAGUUGUGGCCCCACCUCCUGGCCGUGUUUUCCCAGGAGGAUAAGGAAACACCAGGGUGAACAGCAAGGGAAUCCAUGAAAAGUCUUGGAACUGAGGAGGGGAAGGAGAAGACUGGGGAGAAACUUUUAAAGGGGAAUCUCACUCACCAGCACACUCAGAACAAAUAAAUCCUAAGUCUUAAGAUGAAAGAAGGGAGGAUGU
rnacentral:lncRNA from 1 species